rnacentral:misc_RNA from 1 species
UUUAUUUGUUUGAUUUUUGACUCAGAUAUCAGCAAUAGAGAGUUUUGUAAAGGUUCUUCGGCGAGCUCACGCUCACAUUGUCAAACGUCAACGGCUGUUACAGUCCAAAUGUCUAGUGACAAGAAACUUUCUAGUCGUCUCGCCGAAGCAAAAUGAUCUGAAUAAACAAAGGGUGGAGAACGCCGAUUUUCAUCAGCAAACUCGAUAAUGAUCCUUCCGCAGGUUCACCUACGGAAA